rnacentral:rRNA from 1 species
CCUACGGGAGGCAGCAGUGAGGAAUAUUGGUCAAUGGGCGAGAGCCUGAACCAGCCAAGUCGCGUGAAGGAUGAAGGAUCUAUGGUUUGUAAACUUCUUUUAUAUGGGAAUAAAGUGAGGAACGUGUUUGUUUUUGUAUUUACCAUAAGAAUAAGCAUCGGCUAACUCCGUUCCAGCAGCCGCGGUAAUACGGAGGAUGCGUGCGUUAUCCGGAUGUAUUGGGUUUAAAGGGAGAGUAGGUGGUGCAUUAAGUUAGAUGUGAAAGUUAGGGGUUCAACCAGAAAAUUGCCGUUGAAACUGGUUGACUUGAGUAUAGUAGAGGAAGGCGGAAUGCGUGGUGUAGCGGUGAAAUGCGUAGAUAGAACGCAGAACUCCGAUUGCGAAGGCAGCUUACUAAACUGUAACUGACACUGAGGCACGAAAGCGUGGGGAUCAAACAGGAUUAGAUACCCCUGUAGUC